AGCCUGAACCAGCCAAGUAGCGUGAAGGAUGAAGGCUCUAUGGGUCGUAAACUUCUUUUAUAUAAGAAUAAAGUGCAGUAUGUAUACUGUUUUGUAUGUAUUAUAUGAAUAAGGAUCGGCUAACUCCGUGCCAGCAGCCGCGGUAAUACGGAGGAUCCGAGCGUUAUCCGGAUUUAUUGGGUUUAAAGGGAGCGUAGGUGGACUGGUAAGUCAGUUGUGAAAGUUUGCGGCUCAACCGUAAAAUUGCAGUUGAUACUGUCAGUCUUGAGUACAGUAGAGGUGGGCGGAAUUCGUGGUGUAGCGGUGAAAUGCUUAGAUAUCACGAAGAACUCCGAUUGCGAAGGCAGCUCACUGGACUGCAACUGACACUGAUGCUCGAAAGUGUGGGUAUCAAACAGGAUUAGAUACCCUGGUAGUCCACACAGUAAACGAUGAAUACUCGCUGUUUGCGAUAUACAGUAAGCGGCCAAGCGAAAGCAUUAAGUAUUCCACCUGGGGAGUACGCCGGCAACGGUGAAACUCAAAGGAAUUGACGGGGGCCCGCACAAGCGGAGGAACAUGUGGUUUAAUUCGAUGAUACGCGAGGAACCUUACCCGGGCUUAAAUUGCAGUGGAAUGAUGUGGAAACAUGUCAGUGAGCAAUCACCGCUGUGAAGGUGCUGCAUGGUUGUCGUCAGCUCGUGCCGUGAGGUGUCGGCUUAAGUGCCAUAACGAGCGCAACCCUUAUCUUCAGUUACUAACAGGUCAUGCUGAGGACUCUGGAGAGACUGCCGUCGUAAGAUGUGAGGAAGGUGGGGAUGACGUCAAAUCAGCACGGCCCUUACGUCCGGGGCUACACACGUGUUACAAUGGGGGGUACAGAAGGCAGCUAGCGGGUGACCGUAUGCUAAUCCCAAAAGCCUCUCUCAGUUCGGAUCGAAGUCUGCAACCCGACUUCGUGAAGCUGGAUUCGCUAGUAAUCGCGCAUCAGCCACGGCGCGGUGAAUACGUUCCCGGGCCUUGUACACACCGCCCGUCAAGCCAUGGGAGCCGGGGGUACCUGAAGUACGUAACCGCAAGGAUCGUCCUAGGGUAAAACUGGUGACUGGGGCUAAGUCGUAACAAGGUAGCCGUACCGGAAGGUGCGGCUGGAACACCUCCUUUCUGGAGC
rnacentral:rRNA from 1 species